GAAAGUGAACUCUUUAAAUGUGGUCGUGUAAAAACAGUUGAAGGAAACAAACUGUACGAAAGUUGUCUUUAGAAAGUCAUACUAUUUUCUGAUCUAACUUUCAUUGACAACAUACAGUAAUUUUCUCUGUUCUCACAUUCUCAAGUUUGUGUUAAGAAGAUGAAAAAGAAAAAGACCCUGACAUGAAACGGAGAGGACUGUGAAUUGCAGAUGCUGAGGCUGUUUACUUCCUUUGGCUGUCAGUCAUUGUAAUCCGAUAAUAACACCAACAGAGUCACGCUGUCAGAAUUAUUCAGCCGAGUCAGCUUCAGCUCUGCCAAAGUCCCAUUUACUCAUGAAGAGAUUUGAAGGCCGUGAAAUCUGGUUUAGACAUUCAUUGUCCACAGAGGAUGGAUCCUAAUGACUUUGGUGAUCCUCUGACUUGUCAUCUAGUGCCACCAAAAGGUCAAAAUAUAAGCUUGUUGAAAAUUUCAUGACAGGAUGCAAGUCAAUUCAAUGUUAUUUAUGUAGUCCAGAAUCACAAAUAUACUUCAAAGAGCUUCACAAUCGAUUCAGAUGAGAAAAAACAUAACCAAAAAACCCUUUCACAGGAAACAAGAGUCUACAGCCAUGCUAGCAGUAUAAGGCUGUAUUUAGGCACAGCGGUGCUUUGAGCAAAAUGCUAACAUCAGCAUGCUAACAUGCUUACCAUGACGAUGCUAACGUAAAAUUUACCAUGCAUGUUGGCAGGCUAACAUUUAAUAAUUUGCAUGCAACAAAGUACAGUUGAGGCUGAUGGGAAUGUCAUUAGCUUUGCAGGUAUAUGGUCAUUAACCAAAGUAUUGGACAAAAUGGAAUUUUGACCUGAUGAUGGUGCUACAGGAAAAGUCAGAGGAUCACAAAAGUUAUUACAAUUCAUCCUGAGGAGGGCACGAAUCUCUGUAUCAAAUUUCAUCCAAUCCAUCCACUAGCUGUCGAGACAUUUAACUCAAAACCAUAAAUGUCAACCUCAUGGUGGCGCUAGAGGAAAAGUCAGGGGAUCACCAGUCUUUAUGGUACAUCGUCUGGGAAACAUGAAUGUCUGUACCAAAUUUUAUUGCAAUCCAUCAAAUAGUUGUUGAGAUAUUUUAGUCUGGACCAAAGUGGUGGACCAACCGACCGACCGACUGACCAACAUUUCCAUCCAUAAAGCCAUGCUGCAAGUUGGCUAAUAAAAUUAUUAGUGGGGCUGUUUUUCCAACACUUUCUCAUACACACAACAUAUCUAUACAUACUCAGCCAGUCCUUUGAAAUCAUUUUGUGAAGUCUUUCCUCUCUCCUCAGGUUGUUUCUUUACAGUCGACCUCUCAACAGGAGUCUUCUUUGUUUGUUGUCACACCUCUUCUCAGAGCUGCAGAUCCCAUCAGCUGAUACGUGAUCACUCAGCACAGCUGCAGACUACAGGCCAACAUCCGACCGAGCGCUUCGGCUGAACAUCCACACGGACGAAUGAUGAGCUGCAACAGCAUCAUCACCAACAUCAAAUACAACUAGCGUGCAGGAGGUCAAAGCCCACAAUCAAGAACUCAAGUGAAUAAAAUAAUAACUCUGAUAAUCUUUUUUUUCCACCAGCUGAAGUGAUUGAAAUGCAUACUACAUAAUAAAGUAUAUAAACAAUUUCAUAGUGAUGAAUUAUGAUGAUGAUUAUGGCAAAAAACAAAUAUCUUAUACUGAAGCAGAAACCACCACCACUGAGUGUUCAAGUCAGAGUUUUAAAAUGUAGUUCCUCUAAUUUUCACUAGAUGCUGCUAAAUAAAACUGACUAUUAAUACUACAAAUACAAAGUUACACAGUUUUUGCACAAGUUCAGAUCUCAAGAGAUAAUUUCACUUUUAUAAAUGAUUGUCGAUCUCACUCAGCUGUGGUUUUUGAUGUUCACUCAUCCCAUUUCACCUCCACCUAAUCUCCACUCAUUUUGCAGAUUUCCUCGCUCCAGACAAAGAUGGUGGCAAGUUGAAAUCCCAAACUCCAGGCUUCAAAAUGUCCCUUCAGGAACUUGUCAGGAAACAGACACUACAGAUGGCUUUGUCAGCUGUAUUACCACACAACGGGGUCUUCAUUGACCUGAUCCAUAACAGACCCUUGAAAAAAAGAGACCGGAUCCAAACCCAAGGACAGCUAGAACUGGUCUGAAUAGACCUGAGGAUAAUCCAACCUGAUCCAAACUGCGGUGGAGCUGAACAGACCCGAACAGAGAGGACAGCAACACUGGCAUGAUGCUCCAUCAAUUAACGAGCAGUCGUGGUGGAAAACAGCAGCACUCUCUCAGGUCCCUGGCUGCUCUCGGGGCAGAGAUGCCCCACUAUUGUUGGUUUGGCCCCUCCUCAUCUGUGCCCAACAGGACUCUCAUUUACUGGACCAAAC